UUUUGAAACGUUACAUCAUGUGGUCGAUAUAUAUUUUAUUCAUUUUUUCAACCCUUGCUCUGGUAGCAUUCUCCAAAGAUUUGGAGUAUUGCUUUGACUUUGUGGUUUCCCUAAUAUAUUUUACAUUUCCUAAGGCUUCCAUAUAAACUAUGUGUCGAUCUGGACAGAUUGCAGAACGCCUGAAUGCAAAACGCUUGCGAUCACGAAAAUGAAAG